GUUUACAGAAAAUUUGUUGUAUGAUAUAUGAAAAACAGUUUUAUUUUGUUUAGAACAUUUGUUCCCUUUGAUAUGAUCUUUCUAAUUUUAAUUUCAAACUAAAGUUUUUCCUCCAAUUUCACGGUACACUGAACAUAGACAAUGAUAGUGCAAGUGGGGCAUCUGUGUACUAUGGACACAUUCUUGUUUGCAAAUAUUUCAAAAUCUAAAUUUAUUGAUGUUCUGGAACAUUCUAUUUUAUAUCAAAAUUUACAUUACCUCAUAAGUUUAACAUUAUAUACACUAUAAAUUGUGUUAUUAUGAAUUAUUAUAGUACUAGUGCUUCCACAAACACACAGCAUUGUUAUCUUUGUUACUGUUUUUUUAAUUAUGUUUUU
rnacentral:lncRNA from 1 species